rnacentral:rRNA from 1 species
UCCAGACUCCUACGGGAGGCAGCAGUAGGGAAUCUUUCACAAUGGGGGAAACCCUGAUGCAGCGACGCCGCGUGAGUGAAGAAGUAUUUCGGUAUGUAAAGCUCUAUCAGCAGGGAAGAAAAUGACGGUACCUGACUAAGAAGCCCCGGCUAACUACGUGCCGGCAGCCGCGGUAAUACGUAGGGGGCAAGCGUUAUCCGGAUUUACUGGGUGUAAAGGGAGCGUAGACGGCAUGGCAAGUCAGAUGUGAAAGCCCGGGGCUCAACCCCGGGACUGCAUUUGAAACUGUCAGGCUGGAGUGCAGGAGAGGUAAGUGGAAUUCCUAGUGUAGCGGUGAAAUGCGUAGAUAUUAGGAGGAACACCAGUGGCGAAGGCGGCUUACUGGACUGUAACUGACGUUGAGGCUCGAAAGCGUGGGGAGCAAACAGGAUUAGAUACCCGGGUAC